CACGUAGGGCGCAAGCGUUGUCCGGAAUUAUUGGGCGUAAAGAGCUCGUAGGCGGUCUGUUGCGUCUGCUGUGAAAACCCGGGGCUUAACCCCUGGAGGCGGGCGGAUACUGUCGAGCUAGAGUCCGGAAGAGGCGAGUGGAAUUCCUGGUGUAGCGGUGGAAUGCGCAGAUAUCAGGAGGAACACCGGUGGCGAAGGCGGGUCUCUGGGCCGAUACUGACGCUGAGGAGCGAAAGCGUGGGGAGCGAACAGG
rnacentral:rRNA from 1 species